rnacentral:rRNA from 1 species
AUUGAACGCUGGCGGCAGGCUUAACACAUGCAAGUCGAACGAGUGGCGGACGGGUGAGUAAUGUCUGGGAAACUGCCUGAUGGAGGGGGAUAACUACUGGAAACGGUAGCUAAUACCGCAUACCAUCGGAUGUGCCCAGAUGGGAUUAGCUAGUAGGUGGGGUAAAGGCUCACCUAGGCGACGAUCCCUAGCUGGUCUGAGAGGAUGACCAGCCACACUGGAACGGAGACACGGGCCAGACUCCUACGGGAGGCAGCAGUGGGGAAUAUUGCACAAGGGGCGCAAGCCUGAUGCAGCCAUGCCGCGUGUAUGAAGAAGGCCUGCGGGUUGUAAAGUACUUUCAGCGGGGAGGCGUUACCAGCAGAAUAAGCACCGGCUAACUUCGUGCCAGCAGCCGCGGUAAUAC